rnacentral:lncRNA from 1 species
UUUCAUAAUGAAUUUGAUAUUUUUAUUCUUUAAUUACAGAUUCAGCCUUCAGUUUGUGUGUAUUUGAAAAUGGUAUUACAGUGAAUAAUUUGCUGAGCUAUGUUCUUUUUCAUGACACAGGCGCAAGAGGCCAUAUUUUGCUGAACCUUGCUUAUAACUCUGUAAUAUUAAUUAGAUUAUUUUAAAUGACUAUCCAUUUUUAUUGGGAAAGUGUUUUUAAUUGCUUAGUACAGCAAAAACAUAACCAUAUAAUUGGUAAUCAGUAACUGUGUCCAUGAAAAAUUCUUGCACUGUGAUGAAGACCUGCUUACGUCGGCAAUAUUCAUAUGUGCUUUCUCCUGCAGCCUUUAACAAUGACCUUGUGAGCCCUGCCUUUCUGUAUUCAGUUUAUACCUUCUUAGCUUCUGUUUACUUUUUUAUGUCCCACAGUAAAUACAUAUAUAAGUGAAGGAGGUGUUUUCACCAUUUUCUUGUUGCAAAACUGUAAAGAUAUUUGAUGUGACUCAAGUGCUGCCUCUAAGCCUUAUGAAACAUGAUUAUCAAUAUGAAAGACAGUUUCUCAAAGGAAGGAGCACUGCCAAAGGAAGUGUAAUUUCCACAGUUUAGUUAUGGCACUGAGGUGGUAACAGAGCUAGCCAACUUUUUUCCCGGGGGCUAAAAUAUAUUCCAAGGGAAGUGAAAUAAGAAACAUAAAAUGACAAAGAUAAAACGAGACGGGUCUGCUCUAAAAGGAGAUGUCAUUGCUUGAGUCUCAGUGCUCUUUGAUUGUUUUAGAGCAAACAGGAAACAUCUCCCCUUUUUUUGUUAAAGUCAGACUCUUAGUCUUGUCACAGUCAUUACAUUGUUUCUAUGCUGUUGUAGACAUACUUGAGGUAUUCUCACCUUUACCACUGAUUUUACAUUGUCAUAAUUUGAGUGGAAAAAGUGGAGUUGAUUCUGUUUAGAGCAGAAUGUCUUUAAAAUUAAAUGAUAUUUAGUCUUUUGAAAGAGUGAGGAAAAACAUGUCUCUAGGCACAGGUUAGAUAUUACUUGUACAUCAAAGACUCAGAGGAGAAAUACAGGCUUCACUCUUUUGCUAUUAAAGUACUACCAUCUAGAGUUAGAUGGGAAGUUUUGUCUCCUUUCUCCUCUAUGGACUAGCAACUCUUGUGGUGCACCACGGAUCAUCCUCUGUUGAAGAGCCAGGGGUCAUCUCAUAACUUUUAUUCAUUCUGACAGGCAGACACCUGCCCAAAAUACAGCUCCUAUAAAGCUCAGGCAAACGUUAAAACCCAAAACAUUUCCAGCCAGGAAUAGCAAGCUGCUGUGCUAAGACUCCAAAUACCAAAACUACACAUUUAGACAAUUCCAAAUACGGUGUAGUUUUUUCUUUUUUUUUCCAAUUUCUCAGCUCUUUAUUUUCUCCAGAGAAAAAUAAAUAACAAAAUAGUAUAUUUUGCCUAACCAAUAGCAUUUUGAUUGUGUGUCUGUCACUGAACUCAUACGUGUUUCAUAAAACAAUGCUUCC